rnacentral:rRNA from 1 species
AGUCGUAACAAGGUCUCCGUUGGUGAACCAGCGGAGGGAUCAUUACUGAGUUACCGCUCUAUAACCCUUUGUGAACAUACCUAACCGUUGCUUCGGCGGGCAGGGGAAGCCUCUCGCGGGCCUUCCCCUCCCGGCGCCGGCCCCCACCACGGGGACGGGGCGCCCGCCGGAGGAAACCAAACUCUAUUUACACGACGUCUCUUCUGAGUGGCACAAGCAAAUAAUUAAAACUUUUAACAACGGAUCUCUUGGUUCUGGCAUCGAUGAAGAACGCAGCGAAAUGCGAUAAGUAAUGUGAAUUGCAGAAUUCAGUGAAUCAUCGAAUCUUUGAACGCACAUUGCGCUCGCCAGCAUUCUGGCGAGCAUGCCUGUUCGAGCGUCAUUUCAACCCUCAAGCACCGCUUGGUUUUGGGGCCCCACGGCACACGUGGGCCCUUAAAGGUAGUGGCGGACCCUCCCGGAGCCUCCUUUGCGUAGUAACUAACGUCUCGCACUGGGAUUCGGAGGGACUCUUGCCGUAAAACCCCCAAAUUUUUUUACAGGUUGACCUCGGAUCAGGUAGGAAUACCCGCUGAACUUAAGCAUAUCAAUAAGCGGAGGA